UCUCACGCCCCGGGAACUGUGGUGGUCCCUGCGGCCACCACCGCCCCAGCCUUUCCUACUAGAAGAGUUGGGAGCUCAGCUCUUCAUAAACUACGACAUCCCCAAGGACAGUUCUGAGGCUUGCCUUUCAGAUGAAGAAACUGAGGCAAGGUGGGGGUAACCAAACUGAGCCUGCGACGCCCCUCUCCCGCCCCGCGCCCAGGGAUCCUGUCACGUGGCAAGAUUCUGUCACUCUCUCCACCAGCUCUCUCCUCAUCGCCUAGCUCGCUUUGGUUAUGGCGUUUCCUCAGCACUAGUGACCCUAAGACACCAGCUUGUAGAACCCCAGUCAGUACCACUCAGGCUACAGAACUGUCACCAGUGACCCUGCUCAGCUGUGAAUCUUGUCACCCAAGAUGCAUCUGGCUCAGCAAACGACAGCUGAGGAGAGAAGACUCUUGAGUGGUGUUGGUAAACUGCCCAGGUUCUUCUCAACGAGCCAGCUGCUGACGGUCGUCCUUGCUCCUGUAAAUAAGCCAACGCUCUCUCGUUCCGAACACAAACCAAGGGUGAUUCCUGGGACUCAGACACUUUGGAAAGAGGCAGGAAGACUUCUGGGUACCGGAGCACUAUGCCUACCUGUCUUACACCGUCUGGGAAAACCGUCAUCAAAGCACCUUGAUCAGUAUCAGGAUGAGGUUUAAAUCAGCUGUAAAAGGAGCGCAUACGUCUUUAGUCCCAGCUCUUCAGGAGGUUGAAGUGGAGGAUUGCUUGAGCCCCAGAGUUCAAGGUCAGCCUGAGCAACAUAGUGAGGAUUCCAAGUGUGUUGUUAAGUAUAUCUGGUCCUGCCUGCAACUGUGAUCCCCAGAAGUUAAUGAUCUGGAGACUUUCAGGGUUGAGAAGCCAAAUUCUCGCUUCUCUAAGUAAGGAAUUGGAAGCAUAGACUAAGUUUAAAUAAUGACAGCAAUUGCCAUAAAUACAAUACCAUAUGUUUACCAUAAGACAACUCAAAUUUAGCAUUACUAUAUAGUCCUAGGCUUGUGGUGGUUUGAAUGCGAAUGUCGAUAGGCUCAGGUGUUUGAAUACUUAUUCCCCAGUUGGUGGCGCUGUUUGGGUAAUUUCAGGAGCAGUGGUCAGAGCUAUAGAGUGAGACUCUAUCUCAAAACAAACAAACAAACAAAGUCGGGCACUUCUUUAA